GACAGGGGUAACUGCAGCCUGGAGCAAUGGGCGUGCCGAAAGACAAGAGAAGGUGGCGGCGAUAAGACGUGAGACAUACUGUAUGUACAGUGAGACAAAACGAUGAGCGCAUCUGCAUCGAAGGUGAAGCUCUCAGAGCUGAUAGUAUAUAAAUGCGUCCUUUAUGUGCAAUACAGUACAGAAUACAUCCUGUAUCCAACUAAUGCAGAGUAUAUUCAAGUUGCCAACACACUGGUUGUGAAGAACCCUUUCCAGAGAAAUAUAAAAGGAAAUGACUGUAAGUUGCAUUGUUUUUAAUCCAUUGGUUUAUCUCUAUCAACACAAUCACACACAAUAUUGUAGUAACAAUAUAUUGUAAUCUUUAUUUGCUGGAAAAUGACAAUCAGUCAAAUUUGUGUUUUUAGCACACCUG
ensembl:lncRNA